GCCCCGAUAGCUCAGUCGGUUUAGAGCAUUCGGCUUUUAACCGAAAAGUCAUGGGUUCGACCCCCAUUCGGGGCG
rnacentral:tRNA from 1 species